GAGAAAGUGGAGCUUCUGAGUGCAAUGGGAAGCCUUUAGUGGGUGUGUCCCAGUUUGCCUGCAGCUGUAUGGGGGAGGGAUUUAUUUAGGAUAGCUGGAAACAAAGGAGGGAUGAGCCAGUAUAAGGAAGGAGCCCCAGAAGCCUGCAGGUGAGGUGUAGCUGGGACCCACCCUAGUGCCUAACCGGUGGUCAUUGCUCAAAUCCUUUGCCCAGGAUUUCAAGGCCAGUGACCACCUUCACUGCCCCUAGUGCUAUCACCAGCUCAGUUCUGCUCCCAAAGAUCCAUUUUUAAAGUUGACUGCCCUAAAGUUUUACUGUCUUUGCAUUUGGUUAUGGAUUGAUCCCUGGCUUUUACUAGACCGUUUCACAGCCCGAUGAGGUCUUUCAUCACUAUCUCCCAGGACUUUGUAGCAAGGACCAGAAACCCCCAUACGUACUGCUCUGAAAGUUACUGCUGGCAGGUCUGGGACCACAAUUCCCCCAGGGAAUUCUCUUCCCCAGCCGGAAGUCCCAGUGGCAAGCCUGGGGCUGCGGAGCUGGAAGGUCCCUGGCCCUGCCUCCCCAGACAUCAGUAGGGCGGGACUCAAUUCCGGGGGCGACACGUCCUAGGAGAGCUAGACGGAAGCACUGGGACUGACACGUGGACUUGGGCGGUGCUGCCCUGUGGGUUGGCCUAGGCCUGAGGGGAGGGCACGGUACUGGGACACAGCGGUGCCCAUGCCAUCUCAGCGCUCCAGCCUGAUGCAGUCAACACCAGAGGAAGCCGGCAAGACCCCAUCUGCAGCAGCAGAGGAUACACAAUGGUCCAGGCCUGAGUGCCAGGCAUGGACAGGGAUGCUACUCCUGGGCACCUGCCUGCUGUACUGCGCUCGAGUCACCAUGCCCGUCUGCACUGUUGCCAUGAGCCAGGACUUCGGCUGGAACAAGAAGGAGGCUGGUAUCGUGCUCAGCAGCUUCUUCUGGGGCUACUGCCUGACUCAGGUGGUGGGCGGCCACCUUGGGGAUCGCAUCGGAGGAGAGAAGGUCAUCCUGCUGUCAGCCUCCACCUGGGGCUUCAUUACUGUCGUCACACCACUGCUUGCCCACCUUGGCAGUGGCCACCUGGCCUUCAUGACAUUCUCUCGAAUCCUUACGGGUCUGCUCCAAGGUGUUUACUUCCCGGCCCUGACCAGUCUGCUGUCCCAGAGAGUUCAGGAGAGUGAAAGGGCCUUUACCUACAGCACUGUGGGUGCCGGCUCCCAGUUCGGGACCCUGGUGACUGGGGGCGUAGGCUCGGUGCUCCUGGACUGGUGUGGCUGGCAGAGUGUCUUCUACUUCUCCGGUGGUCUCACCUUGCUCUGGGUGUACUACGUGUACAGGUACCUGCUGAAUGAGAAAGACCUUAUUCUGGCCCUGGGUGUCCUGGCACAAGGCCUGCCUAUGGCCAGGCCCUCCAAAGUGCCCUGGAGACAACUCUUCCGGAAGCCCUCUGUCUGGGCGGCAGUCUGCUCCCAGCUGUCCUCGGCUUGCUCCUUCUUCAUUCUGCUCUCCUGGCUGCCUACCUUCUUCAAGGAGACCUUCCCCCACUCCAAGGGCUGGGUCUUCAAUGUAGUGCCCUGGCUGCUGGCAAUUCCUGCUAGUCUAUUCAGUGGCUUCCUCUCUGAUCGCCUCAUCAGUCAGGGUUACAGAGUCAUCACAGUGCGUAAGUUCAUGCAGGUGAUGGGCCUUGGUCUAUCAAGCAUUUUUGCCUUGUGUCUGGGUCAUACCACAAGCUUCCUCAAGGCUAUUAUCUUUGCAUCAGCUUCCAUUAGUUUCCAGACCUUCAACCACAGUGGUAUUUCCGUCAAUAUUCAGGACCUGGCCCCAUCCUGUGCCGGUUUUCUGUUUGGUGUGGCCAACACUGCAGGGGCCUUGGCAGGUUUCUGCCUUGGGUUCCUGCCCCAGUUCCCCUCAGUGAUGCCGUGUGACCUGAAAGUUGUAAGCUGAAAUGACCUUUUCUUCCUGAAUUUGCUUUUGGUCAUGAUGUUUAAUCACAGCAAUGAAAACCCUAAGAAAGACCCGAGGAGUGGAGCCUGCCUCUUCAGUCUCCUCUCCUUCCUCAUCCUCCUGUUUACAGCUCCUAGCACCCAUCACUCUACUUUUUGUAGAUGAAUUUGACUCCUUUGUACCUUUGUGAAGAAAUUAUUCCUUCAACACGAUGCCCUCAGGAGUCACUUAUGAUGAUGGCUUACUUCUGUCCUCAUGUGAACCACGCUGCAGCCCAUGUGCGAAUAAAAUUGGCACUUCAGGACUUUAUCCACAGCUAGCUGGGCAAUCUUUGCUGUGGGAUGAGAGCAGUGAGCAGCAUGCCCACCCCCCACUGCCCCCUCAGCUCAGGAACGCAGGAACCUCUAUGCAGUGUGGAAUGGUGGCUGCCUACGUUUAAAGAGAUCAACUUCUCCAAGAGGAUAACACUGAGGAGAGAUUGGGGGUGGGGUGAAGAGUACCAGAGCUUAGAUUCAUAUGUGCAAAGGCUUGGUGUGUGUGUGUGCAGGCUCUGUGUUAGCUGUGGAGAAGCUUCUGGAAUUCCCUGAUCCUUUUUGGUUCUCUGCAAGGUUGGCUUGGGAGCUGAGGAUGGAUUAUGGGGAAACAGAGGCCCACCCACUACGGGGUUGUCAGACUGCUGUUCUUCCCCCCACAGUGCCCAUGGAUAGUGGGUACAGACAGGUGAGAAGCCAGGGAGGACUGAUGAGGACUGGCAUGCUUGGCAGUAGUUGACCCAAGAUCCCACUUGGUACAGUGAACAGGCCCCGACAAUCUGGGAGGUAGCAAAGGGUCAGGUCCCAGGAGAAGGGGACAGGCAGAGAGAGGAGGUAACAGGGCAGUGGGAGCUGGCCAGGCCCACAAGGCCCUGGAGGCAGGGAGAGGUUGGGUGCAGGAAUAUUGGCUGUUAGGUACUAUCUGGCAGACAUAAUGUGCUCUGCAUCAGGCCAGCCUCUCUGAGAAUGGGAUGUAUGGAUACAUGGCAGACCCAAAUACAUACAGUCUUAGCCCAAAUGCCCCUCAACAUGCCCUAGGCCCCUCCCCAUUUCUCUGCUUCCCUUUCAGGAACUUUCAGUACCACAGUCACCAAACCUCAUAAGGAUUUAUUUCCCUUGGAGUCCAGUCUGCCCCUCAUGGUGUCACCAUGCUCCUGGCAUGAGAGGUGGAUUCUCCAGCACUGAAGGUCCUUGCUGUCUAUCCCAAGUCUUGGAGCAGUGGGCCUGGGGCCUGGGAAAUGCUUAAGAAUGCUCAGCAUCAGAUGCCGUAGGCCUUGCCCCUCUGCUAUAUAAUUUUUGUCCUACCCAGCUUCCCAUCUUACACACUGUUAAUGGACAGAGAUGACCCACAUUAUAGCCGUUUUGUGCUGACUUAGAGGCCCAGUGGGCAUGGGAGGCUGGUGGCCCAGGCCCACUCUAAGUGAAUAGCUUAUGAGGUGAUCAGGCCGUAUGACACACAGUGGAGCCCAGUGGUAGUCUCUAAAGGUGACCGAGGAGAGUGUGAGAGCUGGUGCCUUCCAACCUGUCAGCUCAGAGCACUGAGGAAUCAGCCCUGAAGCUGCAGGCCCUUGGCCUCCUUGGGACCCAACAGCUCCUGAGCUGGUUUCUCAGGACUGGCUCAUGCUGACCCCAGGCUCCUCUCUCUGGGACCCACUCUGGAGCUGCAGAGCUACUUCCCCUCUCAGGCCCUCAGAGGUGGCUGUCUGCAGUCCUGCUGAGGAUCUGGAUCCAAACUUGGAUCUAAACUUGUUUGCAUCUUAGAAGCUGCAGACUUGGCUAGAGGCCAAGCUCCUCUGAGCCUUAGCCUCCACAUCAAGAAUUGGGUUCUGACAGGCAAACAAACACUCCUCAGGAAGUGGGUAGGGUCCCAGGAAGCAGAUGAAGGCCAAUGUUGCUAUGUGAGUCUACACCAGGCAUCUGCUGGCAAAGCUGCCUCCUGGGGCAUGUUUACAGGCUAGGUUUCCAAUCACAGUGAUGCCAGCUGCCUCAAUUUCCCCUUCUUUCCUAUAGCAGUGCUCUGCUGGGCAAAACCCAGGCUUCAGUCCGCGUCCUCAGUGCCCCUCUUGACUUCACUCUGGCCAGGGCUCCUUCACCACCGUCCUCCACUUCCUGUGCCCCUCUGAAUGUCCUCUUCUCCUCCCCCACGUGCCCCUGUGCUGCCUCAGCCCCUCCCACACCCUCUUCCUUGCCUGUUGAGCCUCUUGAUUCUACCAGGGUUUGGCCCAGGUGUGCCCUCUGUGGGACCGAGAUCAGCGCAGAGACCUUUGCCCCCCAGUAGGCUACAGAUGCUGCAGUCAGUAACUCGCUGUCUUUACUCUGAAAUGACUUUUUUAAAAAGUACAGAUUUUUUUUUUAUUUUUCUGAGAUUACAAUAUAAUUGAGUUAUUUCUUCCUUCUCUUUACUCCCUCCUAAAUGUUUUAAAUGAUUUCAUUUUGUAUGUAUGCAUGUAUGUUUACCUGCAUAUGUAUGUGUCAGAUCACCUUCAACUGGAAUCAUGGAUAGUUGUGAGCUGUGGAUGCUGUGCUGGGAAUUCUCUGUAAUAAUAAUAAGUGCUUAAAACCAAGCCAUUUCUCCA